CUAAGACCUCUGUUUGUUAUCAUAGAAAGGCUACCCAUAGUCCACCAGCAGCGGAGUGCAUGUAAGCUGGGGAGCAGACACCAGAAGAGGAAUGCGCGUUCUAUAUCCAUCCUGACCUCCUGGCUGAGGCUCACACUGAGCACAAGAAGCCACGAUUCGAGGAAUUCACUCUUACUCCACUUUCUGUACAACACGGGGCGGUCUCUUCAGACAGGAGCAGCACAGCCUGCUGCCAGCUGCACGCCAUACCCGGCCUCCGCCUGCUCCACUUGCUCCACUUACUUCGUCGCUGUCUCUUUCCUUGUGAAGUUCCUGCUGCCCAGGGCAGGAGGAGAAAUCCAUUCCACACUCCUCAUCUUUGUGAGAAUCGUCUCCCUUCCUCGCACCCUCUCCUGCCCAUCUACCCUCUCCACCAUCACUGUGGACAGCAGAGGACAGCUGCAAGUCCCGGACUCCCCACCCCCAGAGGAGCGCAGGGAAGCACUGACACCCAGGGUGAGCCUGCAUUCUCCUCACGGGCCCAGGCUCCAGAGCAGAUUCAGGUCCAGCCUCUGCUACAGAGCAGCUGGCUUGCAGAGCUGCCCUUGGACUCUUCGUUUCCUGUCCGAUGGCAGCAGUGGUACCUGCCUUGUUCAAGAGGACAGAAAACUUGAGGAUUAAAGAAAAUAUGAGUCAGAUCCCUGUCAGUGUGAGGCGUUUUUUUGAGCUUUUUGA